GCUCAAGGGAUACUGCCCAGGCCUUGAAUUUAAACCCCAGUAUGCAUGGUGCUUGCUUGCACACACAUGCAGCACAUACACAUUCUACCACCAACACCACCAACACCACCAGUCAAUAUAGUUUAGCCUAGGCAGCAAGACUAAGAAACAACUGUAACUUUGAGCAAAAG